UGGUGUCGAUCGACACUGUUGC
rnacentral:siRNA from 1 species